rnacentral:rRNA from 1 species
GAGUUUGAUCAUGGCUCAGAACGAACGCUGGCGGCAGGCCUAACACAGCAAGUCGAGCGAACCUUCGGGCUAGCGGCGGACGGGUGAGUAACGCGUGGGAACGUGCCCUUCUCUGCGGAAUAGCCUCUGGAAACGGAGAUUAAUACCGCAUACGCCCUUCGGGGGAAAGAUUUAUCGGAGAGGGAUCGGCCCGCGUUAGAUUAGGUAGUUGGUGGGGUAAUGGCCUACCAAGCCUACGAUCUAUAGCUGGUUUUAGAGGAUGAUCAGCCACACUGGGACUGAGACACGGCCCAGACUCCUACGGGAGGCAGCAGUGGGGAAUCUUAGACAAUGGGCGAAAGCCUGAUCUAGCCAUGCCGCGUGAGUGACGAAGGUCUUAGGAUCGUAAAGCUCUUUCGCCAGGGAAGAUAAUGACUGUACCUGGUAAAGAAACCCCGGCUAACUCCGUGCCAGCAGCCGCGGUAAUAC